CUGGGAGCAGUCUGCCUCUGUCUGUCACACAUCUAGUACUAUCUAGUAUGGAUGGCCUAUGACCUGGGAGCAGUCUGCCUCUGUCUGUAUGUGUUAGAUUUGGUUUCACCACUACUAGGGUCUGAAGUACCUUGUGUUAUUGUGCAGAGGGUUCUCAGUUUGGUCCCUGGUUUGGAAAGGCAGUGACUGAACUCACUUUUGUUUGCAUCUGACCAAUGACCCAGACCUACAUAUGUGAGUGUCAGACUGAGAGUUUGAGUUACAGGCUGACUGGAAGUUCUGGGCACUGUAUGACAAAUCAGGGCACCCUUAAAUAUUCAAAUAGACAUGCCUAUAAGUGCUAAAUAUUUAAUGAUGGUCCAGCCCUCUAGAGUCAAGGUGUGAUCUGGAAUCACACUCCCCAUCUGCCCACUGUCUACUACUACUCUUUGUCUGAUAUUAGAAUAGACAGCCCUCUAUCCCCACUCUAUCUGCAAAUGUCUUCAUUUCUCUUUCUUGCAUUUUUUCACGAGAUGCGUCAGUGCAGAGGAAUCACAGGUAAUGAUCCAGGUUCAGAUGUUACAUAUUAUUGUCGACAAAAACAUACUAUAUACAUUAUCCGGUUCAGUCCAGUAUUAUUUGCACAUAGUCAAAUCCGUCAGGAAGGGCUCCCGAGUGGCGCAGCAGUCUAAGGCACUGCAUCUCAGUGCAAGAGGUGUCACUACAGUCCCUGGUUCCAUUCACAAUUGGCCCAGUGUCAUCCGGGUUUGACCAGGUUAGGCCGUCUUUGUAAAUAAGAUUUUGUUCAUAACUUACUUGCCUAGUAAAAUAAAGAUCUCUGCCCCACCUCUGGCUCCCCCAGACAUUAGACCUGAGCUGGAACCUAUUCUUCUGAGGGGGUCUGUAUCUGUCUGACCAGUGGUGGAGGACAGGUUGAGGGGGCAGCAGUGCACAUAGAGCAGACAGUUCCUCACUGCACUGGCACUCCCUGCCUGCCAGAAUGGUGUACCAGGCUGCGUCCCCAGACGAAGAGGCCCUGGUGUGGGCAGGCAGGGAGCUGGGCUGGGUCUUCCUCUCCAGGACCAGGGACUCUCUGACAGUCAGUGAGCUGGGCCUCAAACACAACUACCAGCUCCCUCACCCUGCUCGACUUCACCAGACAUGUCUGUACUGGGUGAGACUGACGUUACCAUUUGACCAUGCUAGAAGGAGGAAUAUAUAACCCUGAGCUUACCCCUAACAAAUAUACACUAAUUAUGUACUUUCUCAAAAGAUCUGACAGAAUUGCCUCUUUUGUCCUUUCUAGCAUUGCUAUCUAGUGACUACCUGAGUGAGACUGGAUGCAUCUGCCCCACAGCUCCCCUAUCCUGGCACCUUUCCCUUUCUCUCCCUUUAUCUCUCUAUCCCCCAGUCUCUGGUCUUGAUGUAUUCUCCUGACAUGUGUAGAUCUGCUCUAUCCUCUGAUGUAUGUUGUUGUGUGUGCAGUGCGGGAGCCAGAGGGAGGGCUGAAGUUAUGCUGUAAAGGUGCUGACAUAGUGAUCUUGGAGAGACUACAAAAAGACUGUCCAUAUCUGGAGAGCACUGAGAAAGCUUUAGAUCUGCUGGGGGUGACGGCUACAGAGGACUGGCUGCAGAACGGGGUCCCUGAGACCAUCUCCUUGCUCAGACAGGCUGGACUCUAAGUCUGGGUGCUGACCGGGGACAAGAAAGAGACAACGGUGAACAUAUGAUACUCCUGCAGACUUCUGGAACCUGAUACCAGACUAUUAGAAGGGGAGGAACUGAGGUCAUAUGUACACACACACACACACACACACACACACUAUACUUUUCCAAUAUACUGUAUCUAUUAGUGUGUUCCCUGCCGCAGGCAGUCUUUUCCUGACCCAGAGAGGACUUUCUCCAAGGGCAAAGAGACAGCAUUGGUCCUCACCGGCCCUGAACUGAAAGCAUCACACAAAAGGCAGUGUCAUGUUGAUAGUGUUCAGGCAGAGUUUGACCCCGGGCCAGAGGGUGAGUGCCAGGUUCAUGUCCCUGGCAGGACUGUGCUAGUCAGUGCUGUAUUGUCGUGUCACUCCGGGCCAGAAGGCUGAUGUGGUCAUGCUCAUUGGGAAACACACCACCUCCAUCACUAUGGCGAUAGGCGAUGAUGCCAACAAUGUGAACCUGA